AGGACCUUACUUGAAUAUGAUCUGUUCUAUAGGCUUCUGUAUUCUUUACUACAAAGUCUUGCAGUCGAAAUUGAUGAUUGGACCAGCAUCAUAGAAGACC
rnacentral:snoRNA from 1 species